CUCCAAUGAGCGUAGUCGCCGAGUGCUCCUAGUUCGCGUCCCUAAGGGACCCUCCUUCUCGAGCCACAGAAGUGGAAGCGGGCAAUGGAAUCCCUCAUAAACUGCCCCGCUCGGUCUGCCGUCCCCUCAUUUAUCUCUCCCCAAACGACACAAAUCCCCAUGGAGCAUAAGACCCAAUGGAAUCCAGCCCCCUCUAGGAUUUGCGACCGUAGUCAGGUAGGACUGGCGGCUACGACGGCGAUGGCAGGGCAACGGCAGGAACGCAUGCCGAUUGAUCUGGAGGGGAUGGAUGAAACUUCAUGCAAAAGGGCUCAACAUACUCGAGGGCAAGCCGGAGCCGCAGCUCCGAGGACUACAUGAUCCUCUGCACGUUGAAGGCCUUCAUCAUCGUAUAUUCAAAGAUCCACCGAAAAGAUACAUAUUUCUUGUUGGAAUAAUUUUUCUUUUGUCUGGCUUUUCGUUUGUGCCAUAUUAUUAUCCAUUAGUUCGCAUCUCAAUUUGGUACUUUCUUUGUUCUUGAGAGUUGAAGGUUAGUGACUAUUGGGUAUGCUGAAUUGGUAGGUUUUAAGUUCAUUUAUACAAGGUGAUCUUUCUCUACAAGUUUUUGUGUAGGUGGCAACAUUUGGUCGUCUCCUUUGUUCUAGAGGAUAGUUAAUGAAUUACCUGCAUGUUGAUGAUAUUCAGCUUAGGGAACAAGAUAAUUGCACAUACAUGGAUCCAACAUAUAUUUAUUCCUUUUACAUUCGACUAUAGCAUGGCUGAUCUGAUGCACUAUUUUCAUGUAUAAAACAGGCAAUUGUUAUCAUUGAAAGGCUUCUUUUGUUUUCAAUUCUAUGUAUAAACACUACAGUUACUAUUCGAUGAAAGCAAUGGUUUUGUAUGCA